rnacentral:lncRNA from 1 species
AAACAAACACGGUGAGGAAAACCCUGUACAAAUUGAUACUGCUAGGUGUAAAAAACUAGCACAGGAGUGACAGGCAGAUAGGGAUCCAGCAGUUAGCUGGGUGUGUGAGAAAUUCUAAGUGCUGCUGUGCAGGAAGAGAGCUCGCUGCCCACCGAGAGCGGAUGCCCACUGACACCUGCAGAUGCUCAGAAGAACACGGGGGAGCUCUGGGACCUUCACACUGUAACGAAGAGCACAUCUGGGGAUUUCUUCAUCGUUCCUCAUGUGCCUGCUUCUCUUCUCCAUGCCUCCCCAUGUGAAUCCUCAAGUCUGUAGUAACUUGGCGCUGCCCAAACGCUGUUAGAGAGGUUUGGGAACAGAUAACCCACUGCUCCCCCUCCUCUCCCCCCUCAGCUCCCAUCCUCUCCUGCACAUCUUGAAAGCCAGCAUGGCACAAAUUGUGAGCAAAAGUGGCUUGGAGAGAGCGCAAGCCACGUCUAAUGACACCACUCAGCCCCUAAAUGGUUGUCACUCCCUUACAGAAUCAGUCCUGACAAGGAGUCAUUAUCCCUGCAGUAAACACAGGCAGCAGGCCUCCUGCAGCAGGCUGUUGGAGCUGAGAGAGGCUCCCAACUUUUUCCCUCUGAUGGUGGUGCUCAGGAGCAAGCUGAUGUUGGUCACCUUGAUGAGACGCAGCGAACACGAUGCACUCAUCGCCACCGAGCCGAGUCUCCUGAGUUGGUGAGCUUCCUACAAGGGAUUCAGGGAGGGGAAGAAAAGCUCUACAGCAUUAGAUUUCAUCUUUUCAGAUGUUUCCUGCCUUCACUUCAUGCCACCAAAGCUGUUGUUCCCUGUGAAAAUGUUGUUCUCCAGUCUUGCCUUCCCCACCCCCCUUUUUUUUUUUCCUUUCCCUAAUGGAAAAAUUGAGAGAACAGAGAUUAUUGUCGUUAUUAUUUGUAUAAAUGUCUAGAUUUUAGACUUGGAUCAUGCUGCAAAAGUCGAGGAAGUUGGUCAUACAGCUGUCAAGGGAAAAAAGACUAAUUUCUGGUCUCCAUGUGCUCAUUUCACUGACCCUGUCCCGUCUGAGUACUUCCAGCUCACAGCACAUUAUAGUUAAAGUAUCCAGAUAAAAUAUUUUUCUCUUCUAUGUGAAGAGUGCAGAAGACCUGUAUUGACAGCUGAGAAAUGUUCUUUUUGGAGUCUGCUCUUGGUCACUUGUGAUUUGAAAUUUUAAAUUUCAUGAGGAAAG